rnacentral:snRNA from 1 species
AAGCUCCAGCAACUGCGGAGAUACCAUGAUCCCAAAGGUGGUUUUCCCAGGGUGAGGCUUGGCCAUUGCUCUCCGGAUGUGUUGACCCCUGUGAUUUCCUCAAAUGUGGGGAGACUCGACUGCAUAAUUUGUGGUAGUGGGGGACUUCAUUUGUGCUCUCCGA